rnacentral:piRNA from 1 species
UGCAGAUCUCUGAUGUGGUCAUGGC